rnacentral:rRNA from 1 species
CCUACGGGAGGCAGCAGUGGGGAAUAUUGCACAAUGGGGGGAACCCUGAUGCAGCGACGCCGCGUGAGUGAAGAAGUAUUUCGGUAUGUAAAGCUCUAUCAGCAGGGAAGAAAAUGACGGUACCUGACUAAGAAGCCCCGGCUAACUACGUGCCAGCAGCCGCGGUAAUACGUAGGGGGCAAGCGUUAUCCGGAUUUACUGGGUGUAAAGGGAGCGUAGACGGCAAAGCAAGUCUGAAGUGAAAGCCCGGGGCCCAACUGCGGGACUGCUUUGGAAACUGCCCGGCUAGAGUGCUGGAGAGGUAAGCGGAAUUCCUGGUGUAGCGGUGAAAUGCGUAGAUAUUAGGAGGAACACCAGUGGCGAAGGCGGCUUACUGGACAGUAACUGACGUUGAGGCUCGAAAGCGUGGGGAGCAAACAGGAUUAGAUACCCCUGUAGUC